UACGUAGGGUGCGAGCGUUGUCCGGAAUUAUUGGGCGUAAAGAGCUUGUAGGCGGUUGUUCGCGUCUGCUGUGAAAUCUCAAGGCUCAACCUUGAGCUUGCAGUGGGUACGGGCAGACUAGAGUCCGGAAGAGGAGAGUGGAAUUCCUGGUGUAGCGGUGAAAUGCGCAGAUAUCAGGAAGAACACCCGUGGCGAAGGCGGCGUCUCUGGUACGUGACUGGACGCUGAGACGCGAAAGCGUGGGGAGCGAACAGGAUUAG
rnacentral:rRNA from 1 species